rnacentral:lncRNA from 1 species
GAAACUUUUAGUCCAGACUUAAACUACCUAUGGAGGCAGGUUUAGGACAAACUUAAUUCAAUUAAACAUGUCCUUUUGAUUAUAGUCAUCUUAGAGGGCAUGAAUUGGUAUCUCAUGUGGUUUUGAUUUGUAGUUCUUUAAUGGCUGAUGCUUGAUGGUCUCUUGGCCAACCCAGCCUCUCCCCGUCUUCUUGCUUGUAGCUCUCAGAAUAACUGGUGAAUGCUCUGUGAAUGCAACACCCUGAGAUAGGGAAGGACUGCCUGAAAUACCCUGGACUUUGUUCCUAUCCUUACUAGGAAAUGUAACAUCUUGAGAUAGGGAGAAACUGUCUGGGACAGCUUGGGCUCUUUUUCCCUCCCCUAGAAACAAGAUGUCCUCAUGAUUCAUAUUCUUCUGAAGUAUAUAGCCCAGGGUGGACUGCUUCUCAAGGUAGCUCAGCUGGAGUGCAAGCUGGGAAUGCAGUCAAGGCUUCAUCCACCCCAGGCAGCUUUCCUGAGCCUUGGGAGACUGGCUCUCAAUGAAUCCAAGCUGCUUUUAUCCUUUGCUGCCUAUCUCAUUGAAGAAAAGAAACAAACAUACUGCUAAUAAAAAGAAUGUCUCCUUGUGGCUACUGAAACCCACAUGUCAACUGCUAUAGCUGUCAGCCUACCAGGAAUAACCCCUGCUUCAAACCCCAAGAAGCCCAUUUACUAUUUUAAUGACAAGAACUUGCUAAUGUGGGCAUAUGAACUGUAUCCUUGGAAAGGAAUGCCGUCCAUACCAGGAAGUCCUUGAGAAGGCUUGAGUUCUUGCCAUAACUAAAAAUCCGAUGAUGCAUUACCAAUGACUUCAUCCCCAAAUGAAAGCUAGCAGCCUGCUUCCGUAAUCCUCAUGGAGAGUUAUACCAAGAAAAGACAACUUUGGAAAAACAUGCAAGAGAGAGGCUUCAUUUUCUCUUUUGAAUAAAAGAAAGAAACCAGUCUAUGUGACUACGGAGGAGGCACCAUGCAGGCCCUGGUGUGGGGGCCUGUGUUUCUCCUACAAUGCUGACAGCUAGGGAUUUACCAGAGACUUAAAAAAUGAAAAAACUGCUAAUGGUAUAUAUAUAUAUUUUUUGGUGGGGCUUGUGAAUGAGAAAUAUGGAAACGAUUGGUCUCCCCCACAUUAGGCUUUUGCAUCCCAGCAGUUCUGACACUUCAGACUUCAUUGCACAGCCUAGUUUCCCUUUAGAAGAAGGGAACGGUCCCAUUCCAGUUGAUGGUGGCCUCGCUCCACUUGGUUCUGAUUGCCAUCUCCACUGGUGAAAACCGUCGUCUUGGUCCAUGUUUCUCUUCCUGUUGGUCUCUUUCCCAGUGAUGGGAGUGAGUAUCUGAAGAAGGAAUAGCCAGCAUUUAGACCCAAGCCUAUGAACACCAUUCCAGAGGAAACCACUAAAGAAGGACAGAAGGGUGGGUGGGCAGGAGUCAGGCUUGGAAAAUUGUGCUCCUACAACUGGUUAAGCAGAUGGGGAUUCAAGCAGGUAGUGUGUUGAAAUGCCCCAUACAGAAUGAGUCAGUGGUAGCCUGGGUUGUUGUGCAUAUUAGGACGUAGUAUGUGUGUUGAAACGCCCCAUACAGAAUGAGUCAGUGGUAACCUGGGUUGUUGUGCAUAACUGUUGAUAAGCUAUGUAAUACACCUUCCCGUACCAUGAUGUGACACCUAGAACCAGGUAUAGGUUACUAAAUAUUGUCAGGAAAAAAAAAAAAAGAGGCCAGGCAUGGUGGCUCACGCCUAUGGUCCCAGUACUUUGGGGGGCUGAGGCAGGUGGAUCAUCUGAGGUCGGGAGUUCGAGACCAGCCUGGCCAGCAUGGUGAAACCCUGUCUCUACUAAAAAUACAGAAAAUUAGCUGUGUGUGGUGGCGCGCGCCUGUAAUCCCAGCAGGAGGCUGAAGCACAAGAAUCACUUGAACCUGGGAGGUGGAAUUUGCAGUAAGCCAGGAUCACGCCACUGCACUCCAGCCUGGGCGACAGAGUGAGACUCCAUCUCCAACCAACCAACCAACCGACCCCACUUCUCCAUGCUUCUCAGAAUACAUUUGCAUUUUUGGAUGGAGGGCAAGGCUUUCUAGUGGGGUAAGCAAGAACUGGGUUUGGGGCUUGAGUUUAUCUCAUAUUAGCCAGGUGACACUUAAGAAGGUACUUAGCAUCUAUUGCUAAACUUCAUUUAUUCAAUUAGUAACUACUUGUUGGACACCAUAGUUUCCACUUCAUAAAAACAGAAAUCCUAGUACUUACCUCAUGUGACUAUUGGGAAUGUUACGGGUUAAUGCCUGUGAGGCUUUCAACACAAUGCCCAGAACAGAAAGCAAAUGAUUCUUGUGAGCUAAUGAAAAAUGUUGCUUUAUGCAAAGAAGGAAGUUGAGGUAGAAACAACAAUAUAUUUUAAGGAACAUAUUGUCAAUGUUAUACUAAAUUAAGUGGGUUAAGAUGUAUUUCUCAUAAUUAAAGAAAAAGAAUUAGGAGCUGCACAAAUAAAAUAGUCACUAGAUGCUUUUCCACAUGUAAUAAUGGAAGAUUACUUAAUGCCAGGCUUGUGGUGCAAAGUCAGACACAGUAAUGCUCCAUAAAUACAGCUAAGGCUAUGGAUACAAACUCCCAGUUUGUCCAGUGUUAAUACCUCGUCCGGGGGUCAAUGUUUAAAGACAUUUUAAGGUUGGUCUUUUUCCCUCAGGAGUUUAUGACCGAAAUGAUCUGUUCGGUUGUCUGCUUCUCCUGUUGGAUUUGAACCAUGUUUGUGGAACUUUUUGGAAUAAAAGAAACCAGUCUGUGUGACUACAGAGGAGCCACCAGGCAGACCUGUGCCGCAUUCACCAGUUUUCCCAGUGUCUAGCCCCAUGCCUGGCACAGAGUAGGCCCUCAAAAAUGCGUUUUGUGCUCAUUUGAACAGAAAUUUACUAUCAGUUUGGUUACUUAUGUCACUGGAUGAUCAUCUGAUGUUUGGUUGUGAGAUAGCAUCAGCCAAUUCUUCCCUGGGUUUUCCCAAUUAUUUCCUCAGGUAUUAGCUACCUCAUGCUCCAAAAUCAAAGGCCCCGGAGAAUGGUUUUUGGAAAUUUGGCUCCAUAACUUUUGUUUUUCUCUUACCUGAAAGUUAUUGGUUCUUCUCUGCUAUUUCUAACCCCCCUGCUCCUAGGUAAAGCAGAUUUCAAAUUCCCACAUUGCAAUACUUGGGUUUAGGGCCAUGGGAUUCAUGUGUGGGUUUCAUUUCAGAAACUGAGCCUAAGCAUUUUCCUGUGGAGCUAGCAUGAAUAUCCACACAGUUGUUAAACAUUGGCAACCGCAUCUCUUUGAGCACAUUAAAAUCCACAACACCUGGAGUCUGAAAUGCUCACCUAUUGUAAGACGCACAAGCUUUUUCUGUGAGGGUUGGCCACUGUAAAAGUACAGAUCAAAGAGACGUUCCAUUUUCCAGUCUGAUAAGAGCUGCCUGUUUGUGCAAAAAAGGAUGCUGUAAUUUCCAUUGAUGUUGCACAGCCAAAUAGGUAAUUUGGGAGUCUUCAGCAUGCUGCCCACCUGGAAAGGGGAAGGGGAAUGCAGAUAAAUAUAUAGAUUUUGCCACAUUGUGACACAUGCCGAUACAUGAUCGCGACCAAAAAGCAGCUCUGAGGUUUCUUGUUGCACUUGUCGCGUGCAGGGCACUGUACAUAGAGCAAGAUUUGAAAUCAAGGCUUCGUCAUGAAUAAAUUUGCAUUUAUGAAUGAUCUGGUAUAGUGGUGCUGCCAUUUUUAUCUUAAUGGAUUAUAUUAAAAUUUUUUUGGUGGCCUCACAGAGGAGGCAAAACAACUUCAGUUUGGCUUUGAGGCGAAGUGAAGAAUAAAUAUAUAAACUAAAAUAGGAAUGUAGUGGUGGAAUAAGAGAACUCUAAUUCUGUGUUUGUCACUGACUAGCAUAUCUGCUCCCAUUCCCAAGAUAAGGCAAUAAUUCAUUCAGCAGGUGGUGGUAAGACUUCUGGCAACAUCAACUAUUUAGAAUAUAGAAAAAAUGAUAUUUAAGAUAUAUAAAAUAGCUUCUGGAAAAUGAGGGAAACACAUACACACAUCACACAUAUACACAUAUAUCUACAGGUUAACAUGAUCAUUUGUGAAGAUGUUCCUAGACAGCAGCUUGUUAUCGGUUUUUUUCUAAGUACUUG